rnacentral:rRNA from 1 species
AGCGAACGCUGGCGGCGUGCCUAACACAUGCAAGUCGAACGUGAAAAGGGAAACCUGAGUAAAGUGGCGUACGGGUGAGUAACGCGUAGGUAAUCUACCCCAGAAUCUGGAAUAACCUGCCGAAAGGCGGGCUAAUACUGGAUAGAGCGAGGGAACUCGUAAGAGAGUUUUUCGGGAAAGGGAGCCCGCAAGGGCCUUCGUUCUGGGAUGAGCCUGCGUCUCAUUAGCUAGUUGGUAAGGUAACGGCUUACCAAGGCGAUGAUGAGUAGCUGGUCUGAGGAUGAUCAGCCACACUGGAACUGAAACACGGUCCAGACUCCUACGGGAGGCAGCAGUGGGGAAUCUUGCGCAAUGGACGAAAGUCUGACGCAGCCACGCCGCGUGAGUGAAGAAGGCCUUCGGGUUGUAAAGCUCUGUCGGAUGGGACGAACAUCUUCAUAGUGAAUAGCUAUGAGGACUGACGGUACCAUCAAAGGAAGCACCGGCUAACUCCGUG